rnacentral:misc_RNA from 1 species
GGAGCUGGGUUUAGCUAACGUCACGGCGUAUGAGUGGUAAUUGGGUUGUAUUCGACGGCAGGCUCCGUGCUUCGGCAUCGAACUGUCGGCUCGUACCCCGCUUCAUCGACGCAUCAAGAUUUGUCUUGCGCGCAAGACGGGUUUCUGUUUUGGCUACCUAUUGCGACGGAAUGUUGCCUCUCGUCGUCCCUUUCCUCCUCUUGCUGGCCUUGCCGGUGGGAGGACGACAUCGUAGCGGUGCUCGUGUCCCGGACGAGCCGCACUCGUUGCGGUGCAGUUUCGGUCCUCGAGCUUCCGGUCGACAUCUCGGAUGCGGUACACUGAAGGGGCGGUGGGUCUUUACGGCCUCCGAUCGUCCAAUCGAAGCCUUGUCGCUUGAUGCGUACGACUGUCGUGCCCGUCGCGAGCCGUCGGCCGUCAAGGUCGUCGGUCUCGCUCGGCGCCGGCGUCGAAGAGGAAUGC